CCUACGGGAGGCUGCAGUGAGGAAUAUUGGUCAAUGGACGCAAGUCUGAACCAGCAAUGCCGCGUGAAGGAUGACGGCUUUCUGAGUUGUAAACUGUUUUUGUACGAGGGUAAAUGCAGAUACGUGAAUAUGUCUGAAAGUAUCGUACGAAUAAGGAUCGGCUAACUCCGCGCCAGCAGCCGCGGUAAUACGGAGGAUGCAAGCGUUAUCCGGAUGUAUUGGGUGUAAAGGGUGCGUAGGCGGUCGGCUAAGUUAGAGGUGAAAUCCCGAGGCUCAACUUCGGAAUUGCCUCUGAUACUGUACGGCUAGAGAGUAGUAGAGGUAGGCGGAAUGUAUGGUGUAGCGGUGAAAUGCGUAGAGAUCAUACAGAACACCAGUUGCGAAGGCAGCUUACCAGGCUACUACUGACGUUGAGGCACGAAAGCGUGGGGAGCAAACAGGAUUAGAUACCCCUGUAGUC
rnacentral:rRNA from 1 species